rnacentral:rRNA from 1 species
UGGGGAAUAUUGGACAAUGGGCGCAAGCCUGAUCCAGCCAUGCCGCGUGUGUGAAGAAGGCCUUUUGGUUGUAAAGCACUUUAAGCGAGGAGGAGGCUACUUGGAUUAAUACUCUAGGAUAGUGGACGUUACUCGCAGAAUAAGCACCGGCUAACUCUGUGCCAGCAGCCGCGGUAAUACAGAGUGUGCGAGCGUUAAUCGGAUUUACUGGGCGUAAAGCGUGCGUAGGCGGCUUCUUAAGUCGGAUGUGAAAUCCCUGAGCUUAACUUAGGAAUUGCAUUCGAUACUGGGAAGCUAGAGUAUGGGAGAGGAUGGUAGAAUUCCAGGUGUAGCGGUGAAAUGCGUAGAGAUCUGGAGGAAUACCGAUGGCGAAGGCAGCCAUCUGGCCUAAUACUGACGCUGAGGUACGAAAGCAUGGGGAGCAAACAGG